rnacentral:lncRNA from 1 species
AAAUUAACAACAACAAAGGAGUUUUUUUCUCUCUUGAAAACAUUGCAAGGAUUAGUUGUCUUGUAUAGGAGUUCUUGGGCUGAAAAACUUGGCUAUAACUCUUGAAUCCAAUAUAUUUAAAGCUUCUUUAGAUUUGAUGCAAAUAGGUGUCUUGUAUUGGCUCAAAGAAGCUCCUUUGGUCACAAAGUAAUCCAUUAAUGACUCAAAAGUUCCUUGUUUAACAACCCUAAUCUCCAAAGCUGCAAUCAUGUUUUCCUUCCUAUACAUUCUAUAUGUAAAAUGCAAUGAAUCUUCCAUUUUAGAGCAACAUUGUUCCAUUACCUUUGGGUCAAGUUCUUUGCCGUUCUUGUUGUUGUUGUUGCCUUCUUUUGGCUUAAUCUCCCAGAAUAUGACAUAGUGACCUGGUGCAGAAGAUGUAUCACCGUCGCUAGUGUAUUCUGUUAAGAUGAGUCCAAGCGGAUCGAGAAGUGCCUUUGCUUCUGCCACUGCCUUUAAGAUGUCUGCUUCACUUGUUCUUUCCAUAUCGACGCCUAGAGCAACGUUUUGCCUCCCAACAAAUUGGAACUGAGGUGUAUUGUUGUGAAAACCGGUCACCUUAAUAAUGUCUCCGACUCUAUAUCGAUAUAAUCCUGAAAAGUUUCGAUCAUUAUAUCAUGUGUUAGGACAUGGCAUUUGAAUGAAUUCGGCUUAUGAUUUAAGAGUUUGAGGAAAUCAUACCCAUAGAAGAUGUGACAAGUACUUCAUAACAUUGACCAAGCUUCACGUUUACGAGAUCAACAGGUCCGGUAUCCUCAUGAUGAGACAUGGCGUUUAACUGAACCUGGUUUUGAGAAUCUGUAACACAGUCUUCUUUUAUCGAAAGGAAUUCAUAGUAAACCGUAUUUGGGAGAAAUGUGUAAGAGACAUCUGAAGGUUUACAUAGAGGUUCCAAGUUGAUCCCGACGGCACCUUCCGAGCAAGCAUAAAAACCUGACACUAAUGGUAGCCCACCACAAUAGAACUCAAGUUCUGCAGUAUAUUGUAGCAUGGCACCCGUACAUACGGUACCAAUGUACUUUGUUUUAGGCCAUAGCUUUCUGAUUAUUCCUUCCCAUGAUUUACAACUACAUACGUCUUCUAUCAAGUCAGCCAAUUCUAGAUUAGGCUUCAACAUCAAUGAUGCUGCAUUUCUGCAACCCGAGUCAGUGAUCCAUUCACUUAUUUGACCGGUUUUUAUAUUAGAGCAUAGCUCUUUCCAGUUAUUUUCUAAGAACUUGAAACUUCUUACAACCGUAGAUGCAAAUAUUGAACCAAUCAUGACGACCUCAUCACGUUGUAUUAAACCAAAAAGUAUUUGACAGUACAUGCUUUGUUUGGUGUCCGGGCAAAAAAUAGUCUCAAAAGGGCUAGUGUAAAGCUUGGGUAAAAUAGCUUUAAAGCUACUCCCCUUGAAUGCUCGUGUUGAGACUGCACUUGCUUUGAGUCCAGAAGGAGUUUCGACAUCUGGUUUGGCAAACAUAAGUUCCAUUCUUUUACCGGCUUGGUUUAUGUCACCAAAAUGCCUGUAAAUGGAUAAAACCGAAGUGGUUAGUUUUAGGACUCGGUUCUUCAGAGCUGUUUCUAUGCCAAUAACCAAAACGAGAGGGGCUUUCAGCAACAAUGUCUCAGGAAGAUCCAGCAGGAUGGAAACCAAAAACAAUUUAUGCUACGUUUAGAAAUUCUGGACUUGAAUUUCAUUUCCCAUAUAAGUUACGAGAAUGAAAUGCAUAAGCAUGAAUUUCAAGUUCACAAAUAUCUUCAAGUCAUGUUCAUCAAUGUAUAAGCAACCAACAAAUCUAUGAAAAUUAAAGAGCUUUUGUACCUAGAAAAUGAAAGAAAAUAACUAGUGACUGUACCAGUAUGCAUUCUAACAGCCAAUAUAUUAGGCCCUAAACCAAAGCCAACAACCAUAUAUAGACACUAAACAGUCUCCUGUUUUCGUUUUUCUUUUGAACAUGAGACAAAGUUACCAAUACUUCAAGCCACCAACAUAAGCCUCCAUUUGAUUUAUUGAAAAUAACUUCUGAAAAAUGAUUUUUUGGUGUUCGAAUGAAUAUGUGUAAAAUAUAUUUUUGUUGUUCGACAGAUUUCCUAAAAAUAUUUCAUAAAAGUUGUUUUCAAUGAAACAAACAUAUAUUUGAAAUUUUCUUAUAUUUCAAUUGUUUAAUUAAGUUUAUUUUAUAUUUAUAAAUUUAUAUUUUCCAUUGUUUUUUUUUAAACAAACAUGACAUAAAUAUAUUUGUUAUAAAAUAUUACAGUGCAAUUUCCUUUUAACAAUCGAAAAUAUUUGAUAAUCAAUUUCAUAUAUAAACUUAAUAAUAAACAAUCCUUAAUUAAAACUUAAUUUAAAUUAUAUAUAUUACACAUAUGAGAGUACAUAUUGAGAGAUUAGAGUUAUAAGGGACAAAUGAAGCUAAGCAUUAUUUAAACAAAUAUUCAAGUUUAUAUAAUUAAAACAAUCAUAUUUUUAUACUAAAUUAAAAUAUGUCAUAAAUUAUUGUACUCUUCAUAAAUUUAAAUUUUAGUCCAUAUACUUUUAUUUUUGGGUUAGUCCUACUUUUAGAUAUCAAAAUUCAAGUUCAACUGUUACCAUUAUUAAAAAUAUUUUGUUAAAUUCAUGUUCACUAUAAAGUUCCGAGUAUCUUUUAUUUAAAAAUGUGACAUAAACAAAAUUGACAAAAAAUUUAACGAUGUUAACAAUUGGACUUGAUUAUCAAAUUUGAAAAGUAAAAAGACUAAAUUUUUGAAAAUAAAAUUACAGAGACUAAAUUCCAAAUUUGUGAAGAGUACAUAGACUUAUGACAUAUUUUAACCUUUAUAAUAUAAAACAUUUAUUAUUAAUAUAUUUAAAAUUAUCAUAAAUAUUUAUUAUUAAAAUAAAAUUGAAAUAUUAAAUAAUUUAUUUAAAUAAUAAUUUAUAUUAAUAAUUUAUAUGAUUAGAUAUAGAUAAUUAAAUAUGAAUGUUUAAUAAUAUUGAAAAUUAUAAUAUUUUAUAUUAAUAUUUUAUUAAUUUUAAAUAUUUUUUAAAAUAAAAAUAAAAAAUUAUUAUAAUAAUAUUAUUAAGUUUGACUUAGGUUAAUUUUUAUAUAAAAAUAAAAUCAUUCAUAAAGUAGUUCUUUCUGGUAAAAUGACUUACAUUUAAAAAAAAAUUCUAAGUCAUUUUACAAGAAAGAUGGCUUAUUUUUUGUUGACCUACAAGUUAUUUUCAGUUGGUCAAAAUGUUUUCUAUGAAAUAAAUACGGAAAAAUGCAGAAAAUAUUUUUCAAAAACCAUUUUCAGUUAAAUAAAUAGAGCUUAAGAAACUUGUGUUAUUCAAACUCGGGUGUAAAUUGGAUACUAGUAAUUUUUAUAAAAUUUUCAUAUAUUUAGAAGGCCUUGAAAGGAUCAUUUCUCUAGACUCAUUUAGGGGUGUAAAUGAGACACUAAUACUACCAUGCUAUUCAAGUUUAACUCGAAAAAUACUUGAACUUGGUUCAAUAAUUAUUUAGCGGAGAUUAAGCUAUCAAUCGAGCUGAAGUUGAGCUUAAUUAUACAUCAUUAAGACUAAGCUUAAUUAUCAAGUCGAGCUUAAACUCCAACUUGAAUAGGUACAAAUUUGUACCAGUUCGAAUAUAAAAAUUGAUAAACUAGUUUAAUGGUUAUAUCUCAAGCCAACCCCUAGCUAAGAUAGAUAUUUGAUUUAACUCAAGCUUGCCCAUAUUUGGAUUUGGUUCAAUUACACCCUAUACUUAUUCAUCAACAAGUAAACAAUGAAUUUUACAAGAAGCUGGAAUAAGAUGGCAAUGUCGCAUGUUUCAAUCUACUAAUCUAUCACGCUAUCAGUGUAUAAAUCAAAUUAUACUUACUUUAUCAUCAAAGACCGGUACAACUUACUAAAUGUCGCCGUUAUGUGAGCACUUUCAGCCGUGGUAGGUAUCAGCUUCGGCAGCCCACCCGAAGUCCCAGAGCUGCAUUUAAUCAAACACAUGAUAGACUUAGGAUUAAAGAAACGAAAGAAAGAAGAAGGGAAACACAAUGGAAAACAGAGAGAAAUCCAUGCCUUAAAGAGAACCCAAUGAGGGGUUCAACUAAAAGUAGAUCAGAUGAUGCCUCCCCAUUAGCUAUCCGAUCAAUAUAAGGCUUGAGAUGUUCGUAAGUAACGAUGGGUACAUUUUUUUUAAAGAGUUGCUUGUCGGUUUGGCCAUGGAGGAAUCCCUGUAAAUACUCAGUUUCAGCAUUUUUACUCAGUAUUUCACCCAAUAACUGGUCUUGGAUUUGUUGAGCAUCUGUUGUUAGUUCCUCCAACAUCUUCAACCCACUUUCAUAAUCAUUUGUUGCCAUCAAAACUGGUUUUCUGGUCUGUAAACGAUUAGAUCCUGGCAAACCCUAUCUGUUUUGGUUUUUAUCUGACUUUGAAAUCUAUUUUGGACCGCACGUGAACAGAAGCGCAAUGUAUCUUCCUCACGCUUUUUUCUUUAUCAUUUUAUCUUUUUAAAUUUAAAUUUAAAUUUUUAAUUUUUAAUAUAAUAUAAUUUUUAUAUUUUUAAAAUGUUAUUAAUUAUCUCAAAUAGUUAAUUUUAUUUUUUAUUCAAUUAAAAUAUUAUAGGAUAUAUAUAAAUUGAAAACGGAUUUAAAUUUAAUAAGUAGAGGGAUUAAAUUUUCAAAAUUAAAAGUAGAACGAAAUUGCAAAUUUACGAAGUGUAAAAACUUAGAGUUAUGAUGUUUGAACCGAACCAAACCGAUUGUUAGACCAGAAACCGACCGGCGUAUCUAAAGAGAGGUAUCAGAUCAAUUGACUUGCAAACUGGUACAAACCGAUUAAACAAUGUUAAAAAAAUCAAUUGAACCGGGUUUUUAUUUUUGUGAUUUUUAAUGAUUUAUUUAAUCGAACCGUAUGAAUUAGUGACCUAGCCAAUUCAACUACGGUCUAGUUAUGAAAAUCUUGCUUAAAUUUUAUUUUAAUCUUCAAAUUUUUACUCUAUAAUUUAACAUAAAUAAAGUAAUCAACAUAAUGCGAAUGGUAAGUAGAGCAUACUAAUUUCAAUAUAAAGUAACUUCAAUAUCCGCCAUAGACAUAUCCAAAUCUAUAUCCACAUAUUUUUGUGGUAUAUAAAGUAUCUUUUUAUAUAUUUUAUAUAAUCGUAUCGUAUUAUACUUAAUAUAAAUUCGAUACUAACUUGUAAGAGUUUCAAGUAACUACACAUAUAAGAUAUAAGAACAUAAAAAUCAAUAUGACCAAUACUAAUACAAUACCAAUUGCAUUGAUUCUAUGCCUUUUCCAUUGAAGAAAACAAAAAUACAAAGUACUAAAAAUCAAAAUUAAAAUUUUCUUUUAAGCAAGGUAUUUAAAAAUAAUAAUAACACUAGAAUGAAAGUAAAUACUAAAGAAGAAAAUGUCACAAGACAUAAUCUAAAUUAAGAAGAAAUGAGUUAUUUUAUUUUCUCUGGAAAACAUUGCAAGGAUUAAUUGUCUUGUAUAGGAGUUCUUGGACUGAAAAACUUGGCUAUAACUCUUGAAUCCAAUAUAUUUAAAGCUUCCUUAGUUUUGAUGCAAAUAGGUGUCUUGUAUUGGCUCAAAGAAGCUCCAUUGGACACAAAGUAAUCCAGUAAUGCCUCAAAAGCUCCUUGUUUAACAACCCUAAUCUCC